UUGGAGCUCUGCUGUUGGGGUCUCCCGUCAGUUGUUAUCGGAACGUUGGCGCUGUCUCGUUGGAGCUUUAGACGGACGCGGACGCGCACGGUUGUCUUUUGCCUUUUGCGGAAAUAAUUCAGAGAGAAAAUCCACCACAAACACAAAAACAAACGCAAUUAAACAAUUAAGAAAUAUAAAAAAUUUAUAACUGAAAUAAAACUGAAAUUAUACAAAAAUUUCCAUAAAAUCCUCCGUACAGCGACAGGAGAGUUGGAGUGGACAAUUCCCAGAAGAUAUGUUUUAACCAUUGGACGCAGACCUGAAGACAAAUGAUUGAUUCGAGGUAUACUCUCCACUGUAAUCAACACAAAUUGGUUACGGUGUAGGACCCAUUUUGGAGGGCGGUGACAAUGAUCCAUCGGAGCCAAUUACCUAUCAUUUGCAUAUGAUUUAUAGCCCCCUUGACAAAAACCGAUUGAAUUUGCAUACGAUUGAAGUGCUACACACAUGAAUUUUGGUUGCUGGAGGUGGAGCCGAAGCUGAAGCUGA